rnacentral:rRNA from 1 species
UACGUAGGGUGCGAGCGUUGUCCGGAAUUAUUGGGCGUAAAGAGCUCGUAGGCGGUCUGUCGCGUCGGCUGUGAAAACCCGGAGCUCAACUCCGGGCCUGCAGUCGAUACGGGCAGACUGGAGUUCGGCAGGGGAGACUGGAAUUCCUGGUGUAGCGGUGAAAUGCGCAGAUAUCGGGAGGAACACCGGUGGCGAAGGCGGUUCUCUGGGCAUUACCUGACGCUGAGGAGCGAAAGUGUGGGGAGCGAACAGG